GGCUUUUAACAAAGUACAAGAGGUAGUUUUGAUGUUUUUCAGGUUCUAGAAUUGCUGUUUGUCAUUUAGCUUAUGGACCAGUUUGGGCAUACCUGAAUUGCAGGCGGGGACCCCGUGCAUCCACUACCUAGAUUGAGAAUGUGAUGGACCCAAAUUUAGUCCCUUACUUAGAAUACUUGCAUUGAUUUCAUAUUCCAGCUUUGAUGAGCUGCUAGAGUUGAGUCAACAGGGAGAUAAUAGAACAAUAGACAUGCUUGUUGGAGACAUCUAUGGUGGUAUGGACUAUUCCAAGAUUGGGCUCUCAGCAUCAACCAUUGCUUCUAGCUUUGGAAAGGCAAUUUUUGAAAAUAAGGAGCUUUCAGACUACAGACCUAAAGAUAUUUCCCUUUCCCUCUUGCGAAUGAUUUCAUACAACAUUGGGCAGGUGAGUUGCUCAAAGAUGUCCCUAAGUAGUCAUCAUCACAAUCACCGUCACCACCAUCACCAUCACCAUCACCAUCACCAUCACUGCCACUACCAUCACCACGACUAACAUUAAUUAUCAUUGUCAUAGCUAUUUAGGUUGGCUUUGUGAAUCAUGUUUCACCCAUCAUUCCAAUCCAAGCCAUGGAUUGCUAACUUGUCUGAAUCGACUUGGACUUGGUCGAGUCUAUUCUGGUUCACUAUAAUGAACCCCCCCCCCCCCGAAAAAAAAAAAAAAAACCCAGCCUGGUUGAGUCGUGACUUGACUCAGAACCAAAUGAGUUGGUGUGAGUUGCUGAGUCAGAAGACCAGGAUUUGAGCCCUGGUAAGUGAAUGGCCUGUCUUACCACCCCGAUCCCAGUUCUUUUAGGUCUUUCCCUUGUCCGCCUCGACCCAUGUUCCUAAUAAGUACAAUAGAUUAAGUAUCUUUACGGUGAAAAUCUGCCGCUGAAC